AAAAAGACAAACCCUGGGUUUCCGUGUCCAACGUUUGACCGUCCGUCUUAUAUGAAAUUUUUUUAUAAUUAGUGUUUUCAUUGUUGUUAGAUGAUAAAACAUGAUUAAUACUUUAUGCAUGACUUGUCUUUUUAAUUUUUUUCAUAAUUUUUUUCAAAUAAGAUGGAUUGUCAAACGUUGGACACGGAAACCGAGGGUUGUCUUUUUU
rnacentral:pre_miRNA from 1 species